rnacentral:SRP_RNA from 1 species
GGGCGGGUCCUGUGCGACGGUGCGCCGUGAACCAUGUCAGGCGGGGAACCGAGCAGCAUUAAGCGGUUGUGUCCGUGUGCCGCAGUCAACCCACCCGUA